CACGCCCAGAGACAAACGUAUAUAUUUCUGGAAAGCAAGCCACCCAAAAUAAAACAAAAAUACUUUAUUCAAACUGUCUACCGGGCUCCCGAAGAUCUGUCGGCCAGGAGAACCCACCACACGAGGGAAACCUCACAAUGACAUUGAGUGACAAAUGAAGAAUCUGUACGAGUUGAAACAUUCCGGACGGGGAAAAGAUGAACACGACACUCUGUGUGAGGAACCCGCAUGGCUGCAGGUGUGCAGGCAGCAGUCGGGAAGGAGAAGGGAGUUGUUGUUGAUGGCGGUUGGUGAAGCACGAGGGGAGCGAGAGCAAGACAGACCACUCUGAAGGGAAACCAUUCAUGUGCUCGAUAGAGGAAAAAGACAAUUGCUGAAAAGCAUACAAAGACUUUGCCCGAUCUGACGUUUAUUGUAAAAUAAACAUUAUUGUUUACCCUG